GAUGAACGCUGGCGGCGUGCUUAACACAUGCAAGUCGAGCGAGAGAGUUCUUCGGAACAAUCUAGCGGCGGACGGGUGAGUAACACGUGGGCAACCUGCCUCAUAGAGGGGAAUAGCCUUCCGAGAGGAAGAUUAAUACCGCAUAACAUCGUUGAAGGGCAUCCUUCGAUGAUCAAAGGAGCAAUCCGCUAUGAGAUGGGCCCGCGGCGCAUUAGCUAGUUGGUGAGGUAACGGCUCACCAAGGCGACGAUGCGUAGCCGACCUGAGAGGGUGAUCGGCCGCAUUGGGACUGAGACACGGCCCAGACUCCUACGGGAGGCAGCAGUGGGGAAUAUUGCACAAUGGGGGAAACCCUGAUGCAGCAACGCCGCGUGAGUGAUGACGGCCUUCGGGUUGUAAAGCUCUGUCUUUGGGGACGAUAAUGACGGUACCCAAGGAGGAAGUCACGGCUAACUACGUGCCAGCCGCCGCUGUAA
rnacentral:rRNA from 1 species